UCGAGCGACGCAUUCCCGGUUCGUAAGAACUGGGUCUGACGGAGCGGCGAACGGGUGAGUAACACGUGAGCAACCUGCCCCGAAGACCGGGAUAGCCCAGGGAAACCUGGAUUAAUACCGGAUACCCUCUCUAGACCACAUGGUCUUGAGAGGAAAGGCCUUUGUGCUUUGGGAUGGGCUUACGGCUUAUCAGCUAGUUGGUGGGGUAAUGGCCUACCAAGGCAAUGACGAGUAGCUGGUCUGAGAGGACGAUCAGCCACACUGGAACUGAGACACGGUCCAGACUCCUACGGGGGGCAGCAGCAGGGAAUCUUGCGCAAUGGGCGAAAGCCUGACGCAGCGACACCGCGUGGGGGACGAAGGCCUUCGGGUUGUAAACCCCUUUCAGGAGGGAAGAAAUUGACGGUACCUCCAGAAGAAGGACCGGCCAACUACGUGCCAGCAGCCGCGGUAAUACGUAGGGUCCUAGCGUUAUCCGGAAUCAUUGGGCGUAAAGAGCUCGUAGGCGGUUCAGCAAGUCGGCUGUGAAAGUCCGAGGCUCAACCUCGGAAUUGCAGUCGAUACUGUUGUGACUCGAGCCCGGUAGAGGAGAAUGGAAUUCCCGGUGUAGCGGUGAAAUGCGCAGAUAUCGGGAGGAACACCAGUAGCGAAGGCGGUUCUCUGGGCCGGCACUGACGCUGAGGAGCGAAAGCGUGGGGAGCAAACAGGGAUUAGAUACCCUGGUAGUCCACGCCGUAAACGUUGGAUACUAGGUGUGGCGGGUCUUACCAACGACUGCUGUGCCGAAGCUAACGCAUUAAGUAUCCCGCCUGGGGAGUACGGCCGCAAGGCUAAAACUCAAAGGAAUUGACGGGUCCCCGCACAAGCGGGCGGAGCAUGCGGCUUUAUUUCGAUGCAGCCGAAGAACCUUACCUGGGUUUGACAUCACGG
rnacentral:rRNA from 1 species